GUUAAAAAGCUCGUAGUUGGAUUUCUGUCUGGGAUGGUCGGUCCGCACUUUGUGCGUGCAUCUGAUGCGUCCUCGGCAUCCUUCUGAAGGACAUUGUACUUUAUUGUAUGAUGGAUUUCAGAACUUUUACUUUGAGGAAAUUAGAGUGUUCACAGCAAGCAAGCGCUUUGAAUACAUUAGCAUGGAAUAAUAAUAUAGGACCUUCAGUACUAUUUUGUUGGUUUCUAGAGCUGAGGUAAUGAUUAAUAGGGACAGUUGGGGGCAUUCGUAUUAACGCGUCAGAGGUGGAAUUCUUGGAUUGCGUUACGACGAACUACUGCGAAAGCAUUUGCCAAGGAUGUUUUCAUUGAUCAAGAACGAAAGUAUGGGGAUCGAAGACGAUUAGAUACCGUCGUAGUCUAUACCAUAAACUAUGCCGACUAGAGAUUGGAAGUCGUUUUUUUAUGACUCCUUCAGCACCUUAU
rnacentral:rRNA from 1 species